UUACAGCCAUGUAGAGUCGAAGGCAUCUGCAAGCAAAAGUUCAAAAAGACAUUCCGCUGCAAGUGCAACCAACAUACUUACUGCGUCGGACCCGGAAGGAAGUACGAGGCUCGAUGCAGAUACAGCGCUGUGGGACAUGUCUUUUACCAGCCGUAAGAUGGCGGUAUACAAGAAUCGAAGGUUUCGCCACAAUGGGAGGAGAUAUAAAGCAUCAUCCAGGGGACUCAAACUCGCAAAGAAUAACAAACAUAGACAGAUUAACAGCAACCCGACCAACGGCGAACCGAUUAACAUCAAACCAACCGGCAAUCCGAUACCAACAAACCGACCAACGGCGAACCGAUUAACAACAAACCGACCAACGGCAAACCAAUCAACAGUAAAGCAACUAACAACAAUUAACAAACCGAUCGAAAGCAAACAGACAAACCGAAAACCGACCAACAGCAAACCGACCAAAAAUAAAACUGGUCAAUAGCAAACCGUGAAGAAGAAACAAAAAAAUCAACGGGAAGCUGAUCCACCUAGAUUAGACUAAACUAAAAGCAGAAAGGGAAACAAUGCGAAAUCGAACUCAUUACCACUAACCUUACCUAAAACAAUUCAUUUUGAUUUUCUAUAUAACACUAAUUCUGAUCAAGGAAAUGAUAACUGGUAUUUACUGAAUAUCAAAAAAUGUGAUUUAAAAGUAGAAAAAUAUUAGCGUGAUGUUAUAGAUAAUAAGAGGCUUACUACUUUAAAGAGAGAAGAGUGUAUAAGUUGAAGGGAGAGGCUCUGAGAAAUGCCGAUCGUUGUUUCACACUAGUUCUUCAAAUAAAAAAAUGCGUUUUCUUGAUUCUAGGAUUUUAGUUUGUGUCUUUUUCCAAGACAUAGACAAAUCGAUAACUUAAGUAUUUCUUAUACUAUAAUAUAGCUGGUUUAUCAAACAAAAGCCCUAUAGUCUCCAAUUCAUAAAUGUGUGUACAUAACUUCCGUAUGAAAUUGAGAAAUUAUUAGCUAAUGGAUCAGAAUAUUGUGUUUUUCAGUACAGAAAAAGGGGCCUGUUCAAAUAUCGGGCACUUUAUAUUAAGAUCCUAUUGAUUACCUUAAUAUUUCCUGAAGAAAUGGCACUGUGCCAUUACCAUUCUCUUUUUAAAUUCAAAUAAAAGACUGCCCCAAAUUUGUAAGAAUUUCAUUAUAAUCAUGAUCAUUCUGCUAAUUUAUUUUAACACUAUCCCUUACUCCUUUUUCUUCACUUUAUUUUUUUCUUCGUUAUGAAUUUCUUUGCUAACUAACUACAUGAAUAUGUCCCUCAUUGGCUUUUAAUCUUGUUCUAAGCAUGUUUGAAAAAUAAAACCAACCAAAAAAAAAUAUCAAAGUUAUCAAAUUAAACACAAAAAAUGGAAGAGGCAAUUAUAAAUCAAUGAAAAAGGGAGGCAUAAUAGCUGUCGGGUAGACAUGGUAGAGGUAAGAUGAACGGAGCAUGCAUUUUAUACAAUGUUAAACCAUUCGUUGUAAUGACUCUUUUGUAGUUAGUGGGGCAAAACAUGUGAGUUUAUGUUUUAGAGGCAAUGUUUAUGUUUUGUGUUAGUGUAAACGUCAUUAUAACAAUGUGUAGAAAAUUAGGAAUUCGUGCGAAACAAUAUAUCAUAGUCUAGAGAUAGGUAGUGUAAAAAAUAAUUUACAAAAACAUGUGGUAUUGAAUAUUUAAAAUCAACUGAAUACCGCGUGUAAAGUACAGUUUAAGUUAUAUUAUCGAAUAAACAUGAUAAAGGUACAAUUUGAGAUGCUUAUCAUAUCUGCGGCAAAUUUUGUUUGCAAGCGCAUAGAUGUUAUUUUUGUACAUAUUUUAUUUUUAGCCGUCCUUAUUCAUUUUUUGAGCUACAAUAUUCAAUAUACAUAUCAUAUAAUCACUGUGCAUGUUCGAUAUUUUCAUUUGUUUUAGAAUGAUAGGUCUAUCGAUAGUUUAUGUACAAAAUGUAAAAUGAUUGUAUCGUCUCAUGAGCAAAGUAGUUUAUUUAAUCACCUAUAUUGACCUCAGAAACGUAUUUUGACUGAUGCAUAUUGAUUUGAAGAAGAAAGUAUGAAAAUGUGUAUAGGUCUUAAUUGAGUUUGUAUUGUGUUUGUAAUUAGAACGUUUAAAGUAUUGACCGUGAACGCUUGAAGGUUGUAUAACUCUGAAACAGAUAUAACGCGCACACAAACACAUCAUCAGAACAUUUAUCAUCGAUUUUACACAACCAUACACUCAGUUUAAGCUGUCUGAUUAAAGGGUAUUCGUCAAAUAAA